GUGAGAAGAAAGACUUGUUGAUAUUUGGUCCCAAAUGGGAUAAGAGCCCAAAACCAUUGCUUUGAGGCAGUGAAUGGCUUAUAUAAAGUUAUUUUGGGUUAGAAUAUGUUAUAAUACAAUGAAUUUGAUUGAUUACAAGUGCUAGAGAUGCAUGAAGAAUGUUUAAAAGUGAGAAGAAAGACUUGUUGAUAUUUGGUCCCAAAUGGGAUAAGAACCCAAAACCAUUGCUUUGAGGCAGUGAAUGGCUUGUAUAAAGUUAUUUUGGGUGAGAAUAUGUUAUAAUACAAUGAAUUUGAUUGAUUACAAGUGCUAGAGAUACAUGAAGAAUGUUAAGAUGUGAUAAAGAAUGGAAAGAUGCUGUUGAUAAUGAAACCAAGGCGAUGGAAUCUAACCACACAUGGGAUGAAGCCGAUUUACCAAGAGGGAAGAAAGCGGUUACUUCUCGGUGGAUAUUCACUAUAAAGUACAAGAGUGAUGGGGGGAUAGAACGCUAUAAAGCUCGGCUUGUAGCAAGAGGGUUCACACAAACAUAUGGAGAAGACUACCUUGAUACAUUUGCACCCGUUGCUAAGCUUCACACUAUCCGAUUCGUUCUCUCGUUGGCCGUGAAUCUUCAAUGGGAAUUAUGGCAAAUGGACGUUAAGAAUGCUUUCCUUCAAGGGGAGCUUGAAGAUGAAGUAUAUAUGCGACCACCACCGGGCAUGGAAGAAACUAUUACUCCCGGGAAGGUCUUGAAGCUCAAGAAAGCUAUAUAUGGUUUAAAAUAAUCGCCGAGAGCUUGGUAUCACAAGCUAAGCACGACAUUAAUGGAAAAGGGAUUCAAGAAAUCCGAGGCCGAUCACACAUUGUUCACACUCUCAACCCAAGAAGGUAUUGUUGUCAUUCUUGUAUAUGUUGAUGAUAUCAUCAUAUCCGGGAAUGACAAGGUAGGCAUACAAGAUACAAAAGCAUUUCUCAAAACUGUUUUUGAUAUUAAAGAUCUUGGAGAACUAAAAUAUUUUCUUGGCAUAUAAGUGUAUAGAUCUAAGGAAGGAUUGUUCUUAUCUCAAAGGAAAUAUCCCCUUGACCUCUUAAAUGAAGUAGGUAAGCUUGGUUCAAGACCGGUAGCAGUUCCGCUUGAUCCGGAUUACCAAACAAAUGGAAAGGGGGAGCUUGGAGAAGCUCCAUUUGACGAUCCUACACAAUACCGACGACUAGUAGAUAAGCUAAUAUACCUUACUAUUACACGACCUGAUAUUUGUUAUGCCGUGAAUCAGGUCUCCCAACAUAUGCAAGCUCCAACAAACCAUCAUUGGGACAUGGUGAGCCAAAUACUUAAGUACAUCAAAGGAGCUCCGGGGCAAGGCAUUUGGAUGGGAUGCAAUGGCAAUGCAGAGAUCGUUGGCUAUUGUGAUGCGGAUUAUCCCGGAGAUAGGAAAGAUAGGCGAUCAACCACGGGGUAUUGUACAUUCAUCGGAGGCAACCUUGUUACUUGGAAGAGCAAGAAACAAAAGGUCGUUUCCCUAUCUAGUGCCGAGUCGGAGUAUAGAGCCAUGAGAAAGCUAACAACGGAGUUGAUGUGGCUCAAAGCUCUUCUUAAGGAUCUUGGAAUUGAGUCAUCAACCCCUAUCACCAUGCAUUGUGACAAUGAAGCGGCUAUACACAUCGCAUCAAACUCGGUAUUCCACGAGAGAACGAAGCACAUCGAAGUCGAUUGUCACAAGGUCCGAGAACAAGUUGGAUUGGGAGUCAUUCUACCGUGUUACACCGAAAGCUCCGAGCAAUUAGCAGACAUCUUCACCAAAGCAGCAAGUCCACAAGUUUGUGAGUACAUUCAUUCUAAACUCGGCCUUGUGGACCUCUCCAAGCCAUAAUGCCUACACUCUUUUUCCCUUAGUAUAGAUUUUUCCCAAGUGGUUUUUCUAUACUAAGGUUUUUAAUGAGGUAGGUGUUCAUAGCUCCAAGCUUAGUUUUAAAACUCUUUAGAACUAAGCUUGAGGGGGAGUAUAAACCGGAACACCAAAAUAGAUGAUCAUGGAGAAGUAUCAACCGAUCAUGAUCAAGAAAUGUCAUCGACCGAGACUAGGUCGAUCCGGAUCGAGAAAUCAUCAACCGACCGUACAACCGUCCGUACAUCACUCGAUCUUCACCAAGGCCAUCCGUACAAUCUCUCGAUCCAGCCCGUUUCCAAGUCAUCCACUUCAGCCCAUUUAAAGGGCCCGAUUCGUAGAAGAAGUGGUGAAAAGAAGGAAGUCUAGAUCCUUCUCUUGUUACCGUUGGAGAGCUCGCAAGUGGAGAAGUCACACGUUCUCUUUAAGCUCCUUUACCAAAGACAUGUCGCUUUCUUGAUAUUGACUUGUAUAGCAUCUAGGGUUUUCUCAUUCUUUGUGUAGUUUGACUAUAAGUAGUCUUGUAAUAUGUUCUAAAUAAAGUAAGUAGAGUUUUUACACUCUCUCUUCUAUUCUCUCUCAUUUUCGCAAACUGCAAACUCACUUCCCUUCCUUUGUUCGAUCAAAAUCUCCUAAUCUCUCUAUUCUCUCGAUCUUUUACUUCAAAUCUUACAUGAGGCAGUGAAUGGCUUGUAUAAAGUUAUUUUGGGUUAGAAUAUGUUAUAAUACAANNNNNNNNNNNNNNNNNNNNNNNNNNNNNNNNNNNNNNNNNNNNNNNNNNNNNNNNNNNNNNNNNNNNNNNNNNNNNNNNNNNNNNNNNNNNNNNNNNNNGCAUGAAGAAUGUUUAAAAGUGAGAAGAAAGACUUGUUGAUAUUUGGUCCCAUAUGGGAUAAGAACCCAAAACCAUUGCUUUGAGGAAGUGAAUGGCUUGUAUAAAGUUAUUUUGGGUUAGAAUAUGUUAUAAUACAAUGAAUUCGAUUGAUUAUAAGUGCUAGAGAUGCAUGAAGAAAGUUUAAAAGUGAGAAGAAAGAUUUGUUGAUAUUUGGUCCCAAAUGGGAUAAGAACCCAAAACCAUUGCUUUGAGGCAGUGAAUGGCUUGUAUAAAUUUAUUUUGGGUUAGAAUAUGUUAUAAUACAAUUAAUUUGAGUGAUUACAAGUGCUAGAGAUACAUGAAGAAUGUUUAAAAGUGAGAAGAAAGACUUG
rnacentral:lncRNA from 1 species